rnacentral:rRNA from 1 species
GACGAAUCGUGCGAACGUUGUUCGGAUUCACUGGGCUUAAAGGGCGCGUAGGCGGCUCGCCAAGUCAGGGGUGAAAUCUUUCGGCUCAACCGGAAAAGUGCUUCUGAUACUGGCGGGCUGGAGGAGGGUAGGGGCGGAUGGAACUUCCGGUGGAGCGGUGAAAUGCGUAGAUAUCAGGAGGAACACCUGUGGUGUAGACAGCUUACUGGACCAUUUCUGACGCUGAGACACGAAAGCGUGGGUAGCAAACAGG